CUGCAGCCCGACUUGAGUGGAGCUCUUUUUUUGACGAGGAACUAGGAAGAAAAAAGCGGGAACGGAAGGCGGAUAAAGC
rnacentral:misc_RNA from 1 species